rnacentral:lncRNA from 1 species
AAAAGAAAAUAUGCAAGGCUGGAUUCAACUUCAUCUACAAAGAGAACUUUGAUAACUGCACAAUCAUCAAUCAUUCUCAGAGAACAGAAAGCUCCAGUUCAAGCCUAUUAUCUACUAAAGGACUCAUCUUAGCCCUGUGAUUAAAAAGAAUUGAUUACUUCGGCUGUUUCUUAUAGCAAGAUCUUUACUUUCAUCUAAAAUAGUGCUCUUAUAUUUCACACUGAGUUUCAAAAUUCCAAAGAGGAGACCUGUACACUACUGUGAUUUGAUGUGAUAGAAUGCCAAAGUGGGGGAACAAGUUGAAAGUUACAGGCUUAAGAAGACAAACAUGACAGUGGCAGAUAUGUGUGUAUUGACCCUUCCAGACUGUACUGGCC